AUCAUCUGGGAAUUCGGUUAAAAUGCAGAUUCUGAUUCAGUAAGUCUGGGAUGGGGCCUGAGAUUCUGCAUUUCUAACAAGCUUCCAGGUGAUCCUGA
rnacentral:pre_miRNA from 1 species